GGGGCCGUGGGGUAGCCUGGCUAUCCUUCCGUCUUGGGGGGGCGGAGACCCGGAUUCAAAUUCCGGCGGCCCCA
rnacentral:tRNA from 1 species